GGUAAUUCCAGCUCCAAUAGCGUAUAUUAAAGUUGUUGCGGUUAAAAAGCUCGUAGUUGGAUCUCGGCGGGCAGGGGGCGGUCCGUUAUUUGACGCGACUGCCCCAUUUGCCCGUGUUUCUUCGGCAGAACUCCCGGGGUGCUCUUCGCCGAGUGUCCCGUUGGGGGCUGCCAGGUUUACUUUGAAAAAAUUAGAGUGCUCCAAGCAGGCUCGACACGCCUGAAUAUUCGUGCAUGGAAUAAUGGAAUAGGACGUCGUUCCUAUUUCGUUGGUUUUCGGGAAUCGACGUAAUGAUUAAUAGGGACAGCCGGGGGCAUUAGUAUUCAGACGACAGAGGUGAAAUUCUUGGACCGUCUGGCGACUCACUGCUGCGAAAGCGUUUGCCAAGUAUGUUUUCAUUAAUCAAGAACGAAAGUUAGAGGUUCGAAGGCGAUCAGAUACCGCCCUAGUUCUAACCAUAAACGAUGCCAGCUAGCGAUCCGCAGACGUUUUUAUUGUAGGCUCUGCGGGAAGCUUCCGGGAAACCAAAGCGUUUGGGUUCCGGGGGAAGUAUGGUUGCAAAGCUGAAACUUAAAGAAAUUGACGGAAGGGCACCACCAGGCGUGGAACUUGCGGCUUAAUUUGACUCAACACUGGAAAUCUCACCAGGCCCGGACACCGGAAGGAUUGACAGAUUGAGAGCUCUUUCUCGAUUCGGUGGGUGGUGGUGCAUG
rnacentral:rRNA from 1 species